AGUCUGCUACUCUUGUCUGAAUAUGGCUAAAGGAGUGACUUGGCUUUUCUAGGCUCCAGUUCUUUAAAUACUAAAUAAGAGCAACAGAGUGGACAACUAGAUAUCCAACCAGGUAACUUGGUGACUUGGAAGUUCUUGUGUCUAUGCUUCAUGGAUGGGAAUAGUGUUUCUGUGGAAGAGAUUCCUAGAAGUGUGAUGGCUGGGUCAAAGGGUAAAUACGUAUGACGUUUUGCUUGAAACUGCCAAAUUCCCCUUCACAGGGGUUGAAGCAUCUUGCAUUCUCAUUGUCAAAAUGUGAGCAUGUUUAUUCCCCGCCGUCUGGCCUGCUGAGCAUGAUGUCAGAGCUUUGGACUUUUGCCAACAAGAUAGAUAUCUACCUGGUAUCCUUGACUUUGUCUCUCAGUAUUCAAAAUCUGCAGUUUCUUUCUAUCUGGUUUGUAUGGAAUGCACUAAUACACAACAAUGAUAAUUAUGGACCUCAGUGGAGCUAUUUCACAGAGACAGGAGAGUGGAGUAAAGAAUUGAAUGGACUUGUGGUACAGAUUCAGAAGAAUCUUGAAGAAUUUCCUCCUCCUCCUCCCAUCAAAAAUAAGUUUGGAACUUUGAAGCUUGGAAAUAAAUAUCAGGUCUGCAUUUUAAGCAAGUUGGAUGUCCAUCUUACCAAAAGGACACUUGCUCAACUAU